rnacentral:rRNA from 1 species
CACGGGGGGAGCAAGCGUUGUUCGGAUUCAUUGGGCGUAAAGAGCUCGUAGGCGGUUCGAUAAGUCGGGUGUGAAACCUCCAGGCUCAACCUGGAGACGCCAUCCGAUACUGUUGUGACUUGAGUCCGGUAGGGGAGCGUGGAAUUCCUGGUGUAGCGGUGAAAUGCACAGAUAUCAGGAGGAACACCCGUAGCGAAGGCGGCACUCUGGGCCGAUACUGACGCUGAGGAGCGAAAGCGUGGGGAGCAAACAGG